CCACCUACCUAAGGAUUAAAUGUCUUCACCAAUGCUGUUUGAGGACUGACGCUCAGAAAGAAGCUGGAAAUAUGAAGUAUAACUGCUGAUGCAUGAAGGGAAAUAUUUAACUUUAUCAGUCCAAACAAUCUGGCCUUGAAUUAUUUAAUGCAACCAAAGAUUUAAAGAACAGAAAAUGAUCUUUUUUCUUUGCAUUGCUUUCACCAACAUUCUGGUUUCAGGUUCUUCUCUCAGUGACAAAAUCCGACAGAAACCAGCAGAAAUGUAUAAAACACUUGAAAGAAAUGCCAAGAUUAAUUGUUCCCAUAAUGAUGAUAGCUAUGACCAAAUUCUCUGGUACAAGCAAACAAAAACAGACCUACAGCUCCUUGGAUACUGUUAUGUAGGCUCUGAAAGCAUAGAGAAAGGGGUAAAUGUGAACAUCAAAGGAGCUGCAAAUAAAGGCGACACCUGCACAUUAACGAUUGAAGGACUCGAUCUGAGCAGCAGUGCAGUUUACUUCUGUGCUGCUAGAUUACACAGUGCUGCAUGUCUCUGCUCCUCAAUACAAAAACCUCAUCAGUAUUUCCCAUGUGUGUUUUACAGCUCAGAGAACCUUUCAUCUGACUUAUCUUCUGUCAUUAGAUGGCAGCACCUCACCUUUAUGUAAAGAGGAGGAUCCUCUAUGACACUACCCAUCUAAGGAUCACGUCUGUUCAUCAUUGCUGAUUGAGGACCGACUCAGAAAGAAGUUGGAAAUGAUUAAACUCCUUGUGCAAUAAGUGAAAAUAUUGAAUUAUACUGAUUCUAUUCUAUCUUUUCUGAUUAUUUUUAAUACAUUAAAACUUUUAGAGAGCAGAAAAUGAUCAUCUUUUUUCUUUGCAUUGCUUUUAACAUCCUGAUGGUUUCAGGUGCUUCAUACAGUGACAAAAUCCAACAGGAACCAGCAGAAAUGUGGAAAACAGUUCAAGAAGAUGCCACAAUUACCUGCUCACAUCAUAUUGAUAGCUACAACCGAAUUUCCUAGUACAAGCAAACAAACAGAGACCUGCAGCUCCUUGGAUACUUGUAUGCAGGCGGUGGAGUUUCAGAGAAAGGGGUAAAUGUGAAGAUCGAAGGAGCUGCAAAAAAAGGCGACACCUGCUCAUUAACGAUUGAAGGACUCAAUCUGAGCAGCAGUGCAGUUUACUUCUGUGCUGCU